rnacentral:rRNA from 1 species
CUAGUUGGUGAGGUAACGGCUCACCAAGGCGACGAUGCGUAGCCGACCUGAGAGGGUGAUCGGCCACACUGGGACUGAGACACGGCCCAGACUCCUACGGGAGGCAGCAGUAGGGAAUCUUCCGCAAUGGACGAAAGUCUGACGGAGCAACGCCGCGUGAGUGAUGAAGGUUUUCGGAUCGUAAAGCUCUGUUGUUAGGGAAGAACAAGUGCCGUUCAAAUAGGGCGGCACCUUGACGGUACCUAACCAGAAAGCCACGGCUAACUACGUGCC